rnacentral:rRNA from 1 species
AACGAACGCUAGCGGCGUGCUUAACACAUGCAAGUCGCCCGAGAAAUCCCGGGCAACUGGGAGAGUAAAGUGGCGCACGGGUGAGUAGCACGCGGGUAAUCUACCCUGAAGCUGGGAAUAACACCUCGAAAGGGGUGCUAAUACCUAACAAUAUCCUCGGGACCCCGGUCUGGAGGAGCAAAGAUGGCUGAGGCUUGCAAGCUCUUGCUUUAGGGUGAGCCCGCGCACCAUUAGCUAGUGUGUGGGGUAAUGGCCCACCAAGGCCAUGAUGGUUAGCUGGUCUGAGAGGAUGGCCAGCCACACUGGAACUGAGAUACGGUCCAGACUCCUACGGGAGGCAGCAGUGAGGAAUCUUGCGCAAUGGGGGCAACCCUGACGCAGCAACGCCGCGUGAGUGAUGAAGGCCUUCGGGUCGUAAAGCUCUGUCAGAUGGGAAGAAAGUUCCGGGCGUGAACAAUUCCCGGGAUUGACGGUACCGUCAAAGGAAGCACCGGCUAACUCCGUGCCAGCCGCCGCCGUAAGAC